GACGAACGCUGGCGGCGUGCCUAAUACAUGCAAGUUGAGCGCUGAAGGUUGGUACUUGUACCAACUGGAUGAGCAGCGAACGGGUGAGUAACGCGUGGGGAAUCUGCCUUUGAGCGGGGGACAACAUUUGGAAACGAAUGCUAAUACCGCAUAAAAACUUUAAACACAAGUUUUAAGUUUGAAAGAUGCAAUUGCAUCACUCAAAGAUGAUCCCGCGUUGUAUUAGCUAGUUGGUGAGGUAAAGGCUCACCAAGGCGAUGAUACAUAGCCGACCUGAGAGGGUGAUCGGCCACAUUGUGACUGAGACACGGCCCAAACUCCUACGGGAGGCAGCAGUAGGGAAUCUUCGGCAAUGGACGAAAGUCUGACCGAGCAACGCCGCGUGAGUGAAGAAGGUUUUCGGAUCGUAAAACUCUGUUGGUAGAGAAGAACGUUGGUGAGAGUGGAAAGCUCAUCAAGUGACGGUAACUACCCAGAAAGGGACGGCUAACUACGUG
rnacentral:rRNA from 1 species